rnacentral:rRNA from 1 species
UGGGGAAUAUUGCACAAUGGGCGCAAGCCUGAUGCAGCCAUGCCGCGUGUAUGAAGAAGGCCUUCGGGUUGUAAAGUACUUUCAGCGGGGAGGAAGGUGUUGAGGUUAAUAACCUCAGCAAUUGACGUUACCCGCAGAAGAAGCACCGGCUAACUCCGUGCCAGCAGCCGCGGUAAUAAGGAGGGAGCAAGCGAUAAUCGGAAUUACUGGGCGUAAAGCGCACGCAGGCGGUCUGUCAAGUCGGAUGUGAAAUCCCCGGGCUCAACCUGGGAACUGCAUCCGAAACUGGCAGGCUUGAGUCUUGUAGAGGGGGGUAGAAUUCCAGGUGUAGCGGUGAAAUGCGUAGAGAUCUGGAGGAAUACCGGUGGCGAAGGCGGCCCCCUGGACAAAGACUGACGCUCAGGUGCGAAAGCGUGGGGAGCAAACA